rnacentral:lncRNA from 1 species
CUGGGGGGCUGAGACCCGGCACACAGUGGGUGCGUGGUGCCUCCUCGGCACCAACAGGCAAUUUUUGGGUCCCCCCCCCCCCAGAAUUUAGCGCCAGGCAUGUGGCUGGGAUCGGGGGGUGCAACUGGCAGCACCCCUGGGGACCCAUGGGGGAUGAGCUCAGGGCUCUGGGCCUGCUCCCCGGGGGGGGGGGGGGUGCAGCCCCCCUGGAUGUGCUUUGGAGAUGGAUUUAGGGUUGGCAUUUUGGGGUGCGAUCGCCUCUCGGGCACCGGUGGCACCCGGCGCUGCAAUAUCCCCUGGGGGCAUGGAGCCUGGUGGCCUCAUUUCCCUUGGGGGGGGGGUCCUGUGCGCCCCCACCCCCUGCUCACCUCCCUCAGUAACGAAGCAAAGGCAAUUAAACCGCCCUCACCAGGGAGCAGGGGCAGCAUCCUCGUGCACCCAGCCUCGUGCUACCCCAUGGAGAGGCAGCGGUGCUGAGCCCUGGUGCUUUUUGGCUGUGCCAUCCRUCCCCAGAUGCCCGGGGGGGGGCAGCCCCCAGCCCUCCCCAGGGGCWRRACCCWRAGCCACGAGGCGGGUGCUGGGUGCCGGGCAGGCUCSCUGCGUCAGCCAAGCRCCACGCUCGGCCCYGRCGAGGGAUCGAUGGCAGGAGGAGGCAGAGGCCGAAGCUGGUGGCGAUGGAGCAGAGGCCGGGGCUGCUCCGGGCACCCCAGGGCCAGAGGGAACGGCCGGGGGGGGCUCGUCCCUGCUCGGGGUGGGGGCGCUGGGCUCAGCCUGGUCGGAUCCGCCGGGCACCGCGGCCGUGUGCGCUUUGGUGAUGCGUGCACGCGAGCUCCAGCUGGGCACCGUGCAAAAUUUGGGUGCGUGGCGGUGCUGGGAACCAUUUCGGGUGCUUCCGAAACCACUGCAGGGGUCUGAAGCACAACCUCCACUCCGCGAGGCCACCAAAUUUUGGGGCCCUGCUCGACACGCGGGGAGCGCAGCGCCUGCAGCGCCUGCAGCACCCAUGGCACCUGCAGCACCCGUAGCACCUGCAGUGCCUGCACCCAGGUGGAGGUGGAGGUGGAGAGCAUGGACAAGGCGGGGAACUUCAUCGGCUGGCUGCACAUCGAGGGCGUCAACCUGUCGGUGGCCCUGGUGGAGCACGCGCUCUCCAAGGUGCACUUCACCGCCGAGCGCAGCCCCUACUCCAAGGCGCUGCUGGCCGCCGAGGAGGCCGCCAAGCAGAGGAAGGAGAAGGUGAGCGACCCCCCCUUUUGUGCCACCACCCCGGCCCCAAACCCCCCCCCGGGGGACACAUCUUGGUGGCGGUGGGCUGGGUGCCCGCCCCAGCGCCGUUUUUCCCCCCCCCUCCUGUCCCCAGGUGUGGUCCCACUACGAGGAGACGCCGGUGGAGGAGGUGGUGCCGGUGCUGGAGGAGAAGGAGCGCACGGCCAACUACAAGCCCGUCUUCGUCACGGAGAUCACCGACGACCUGCACUUCUACGUGCAGGACGUGGAGACAGGUGAGGGGUGGCGGGGAGGAACUGGGGGGGGGGUCACCGUGGGGCUGGGGUCGCUGCUCCGUGCCCCUUCCCUGUGCGGCGACCCGCUGCUCGCCCCCACCUGCAGCUGAAGGUGGCUGCUUUCUUUAAAAAAUACUGCUUUUGUUAAAAAAAAGGCUGCUGAAAUUUAAAAAUUUAAAAAGUGAGCUGUGGCGUGGAGCACUCGCUGCCCGGUGUCCCCAAGACCCCAAUGAGGUCCCCAUGAGGGCAGCACCUGCAGCAGGACGGGGGGUUGGGGACAGGGACGGGGACAGGGCGCGGUGCUGCACCCCCUGCCUGGCACGGCGUGGGGCACCCUCGUCCCCAUGUCCCCGGGGUGCCCGGGGGGGGGUGGCACCGGUGUCGCCACCCCAUAACCCAGCUCUGCACAGCUCGUGGUUGGCAGCAGGGUCUCGGCCACCACGAUGUCCCCACCCCAUGUCCCCACCGUGGGUGGCUUUGUGUCAUCGGGCUGAGGACGCUGGGUUUUGGCGAGCAGCCCCAAACUCGCACCCCCAGCCCCGGGUGGGACUCGAGCAGCCCCUGGGUGCCCCCGUC